AGCGAACGCUGGCGGCAGGCCUAACACAUGCAAGUCGAACGAACUCUUCGGAGUUAGUGGCGGACGGGUGAGUAACACGUGGGAACGUGCCUUUUGGUUCGGAAUAACUCAGGGAAACUUGUGCUAAUACCGAAUGUGCCCUUCGGGGGAAAGAUUUAUCGCCAUUAGAGCGGCCCGCGUCUGAUUAGCUAGUUGGUGAGGUAACGGCUCACCAAGGCGACGAUCAGUAGCUGGUCUGAGAGGAUGACCAGCCACACUGGGACUGAGACACGGCCCAGACUCCUACGGGAGGCAGCAGUGGGGAAUCUUGCGAAAUGGGCGAAAGCCUGAAGCAGCCAUGCCGCGUGAAUGAUGAAGGUCUUAGGAUUGUAAAAUUCUUUCACCGGGGACGAUAAUGACGGUACCAGGAGAAGAAGCCCCGGCUAACUUCGUG
rnacentral:rRNA from 1 species